AAGUAGGGUCACAAACUUUUAGGGAUCCUGAUUGAAACCGGUGUGAUACAUAUACAGUCCUGGUAAAAUAGGAUUUGUUUGUUUGUUUGAAUCAGGAACGCCAGCUACUACAUCUGCGUCUACAGCAGGUUUCAGUUUAGGAUUCAGUAAACCUGCCGCAUCUGCCACACCAUUUGCUCUCCCUAUUACUUCUACCUCAGCUAGGGGUCUUACUCUUUCCUCUGCUAUGACGUCAACUCCAGCAGGAUCUUACAGGAUUUUCUGUAAAUAAUUUGGGCGGAACAACAGCUACAACUACUACCCCAUCAACAAGCCUUUCCUUAGGGGGAGCCUUAGCUGGGAGGUUCACUUUUCCAGAGUUCAAAUACAGCCACAUCAGGAUUUGGACAGAAUGCUUUAGGCUUGACUUUGGGAACCACAGCAGCUACUUCAACUGCAGGCAAUGAAGGUCUUGGUGGUAUAGAUUUUCGUACCUCAUCGGAUAAAAAGAG